UCUACUCUUUAUAUGUCUAUGCUUAUAUAUGUGUGUAUGGUAGCAGCCUACAUGCUGCUCACUGACGCUGUUCAUUGGUUAAGCUGACAUGUGGUUCCUGCUUGAUCCAAAACACACCUGCGGCUUUAGAGGACACCGUUGAGGAGUUUUGCAGAGAGAGAUGAGGGUGAUAUGGAUUCAGAGUCAGACUCUGGGGAGGAAGACAGUGAAGCAGAAGGAAAUGGCACCGAACUCCCCCCACCCAGCACAACCUAUUGCACACCAAAAGGACCAGUUGACAUCUCAAGAACUAAAGCGGAAGGUCCAGCUCAGCCAUGUCUGUCAAAGUUCCCAAGAACUCAGCAUGGAACAAGAACAAGGGCUUUGAACAGCUCUUGGUACAAAGACAAUCCACGGCUUGAGUACUCUGUAUCUCAAAAUGCCAGUUACUGUUUUGCAUGCAGGCAUUUCUCCCUGCCUAGUUCUACAGAAUCAUCCUUCACAUCUGAAGCAGGAGGCCUUAAAUGAGGCUAGGAAACAGAAAGUUGAAGAAAAUAAAAAAUACAUUAAAACAGUUGCUGAGGUGUUACUAUUAACAGCAACUGAAAAUAUUGCACAAAGGGGUCACAGGGAGUCUGAUGACUGACAAUAAAGGCAAUUUUUUAGCCAUUUUGAAUGAAAUUGCAAAGCAUAACCCCUUUGUGCAGAGAAGGUUAGAUGCACAUGGCAAUGCAAAGUAUACUAGCCACCAAAUCCAAAAUGAGGUUGUGCAGGGAUUGGCUGAAAUGGUUCAAAAAGAAAUCACAGCUGAAGUUAAACAAAGCGAGGUGUUCAGUGUGUUGGCAGAUGAGACUAGAGAUUUACAACAGAAA